rnacentral:rRNA from 1 species
CCUACGGGUGGCAGCAGUGGGGAAUAUUGGACAAUGGGCGAAAGCCUGAUCCAGCCAUGCCGCGUGUGUGAAGAAGGCCUUCGGGUUGUAAAGCACUUUCAGUGGGGAAGAAAGCCUUGGGGCUAAUACCCUCGAGGAAGGACAUCACCCACAGAAGAAGCACCGGCUAACUCCGUGCCAGCAGCCGCGGUAAUACGGAGGGUGCGAGCGUUAAUCGGAAUUACUGGGCGUAAAGCGCGCGUAGGCGGUCUGAUAAGCCGGUUGUGAAAGCCCCGGGCUCAACCUGGGAACGGCAUCCGGAACGGUCAGGCUAGAGUGCAGGAGAGGAAGGUAGAAUUCCCGGUGUAGCGGUGAAAUGCGUAGAGAUCGGGAGGAAUACCAGUGGCGAAGGCGGCCUUCUGGACUGACACUGACGCUGAGGUGCGAAAGCGUGGGUAGCAAACAGGAUUAAUACCCUGGUAGUC